rnacentral:rRNA from 1 species
GCCUUUGAGCGGGGGACAACAUUUGGAAACGAAUGCUAAUACCGCAUAAAAACUUUAAACACAAGUUUUAAGUUUGAAAGAUGCAAUUGCAUCACUCAAAGAUGAUCCCGCGUUGUAUUAGCUAGUUGGUGAGGUAAAGGCUCACCAAGGCGAUGAUACAUAGCCGACCUGAGAGGGUGAUCGGCCACAUUGGGACUGAGACACGGCCCAAACUCCUACGGGAGGCAGCAGUAGGGAAUCUUCGGCAAUGGACGAAAGUCUGACCGAGCAACGCCGCGUGAGUGAAGAAGGUUUUCGGAUCGUAAAACUCUGUUGGUAGAGAAGAACGUUGGUGAGAGUGGAAAGCUCAUCAAGUGACGGUAACUACCCAGAAAGGGACGGCUAACUACGUGCCAGCAGCCGCGGUAAUACGUAGGUCCCGAGCGUUGUCCGGAUUUAUUGGGCGUAAAGCGAGCGCAGGUGGUUUAUUAAGUCUGGUGU